rnacentral:lncRNA from 1 species
AAAAAAAAAAAAAAAAAAAGAAGCAUUUUGGUAAUAGGAUAAUAGUAGUAAAUUAAUGUGAGGAUGGGCAGAAUUUAAUACAUGAUGAAAAAAUAUAAAUGGAUAAGAGGACCUGAAAGCCUUGGGAGAACACAAUUUUAAUUUCCCGUGAAUAUAAGGAGUACUCCAAUCUGAAACUGAUGGCUAAAGACAGUAUCUCCUUUUUAAGAGGAAUUUUGAAUUCAUAAGCUGGUAUGGAAAUGGACAUGUGUAUAAACUUGCGAUGUUUCCUGUUGAAAUCCCGAGUACCUGGUGAAGAGCAGAAAUGCUCAUGUUCUCCUUCUGCUUCUCUCCAUGUGGGUCUGGGAGGGUAAACACAGGUCGAGACUGAGCAGCCUGAGCGUAGCAAGGACCUACACGGUUUUCCUGAGGCCCAGCCCUGGUGCUGCCACUGACCGUCCCGCACUUGGCUGGCUCCCUUGCGCGUGCAAGGGCAGGUGCAGCGGGCUGAGGGCCACUUCGUGCAGCUCACGUGGGUGAUGCCCAAGCACCCUGCAACUCCUGAUUAGUUAACCUCGAGACACAGCAUAAUUUAUACCACCGGCUUCUGGAACAAUUGGAACUUUCUUCAUCUCUUCUGUGACAUUUUCAAGAUGCCAAAGACUCAUAUUGUAGACCUCACCCCAAAGGGUUAAAUUCCAAGACCUAAGUUCACAAUAGAAAUAUGCUAAAGAAUGACACUGCAGCAGCUGCUGGUGAACUUGGUACGGCCUCAGCCAAACUCAGGAAGCAUCCAGAGUCCCUUCAUCAUCGAGACAGUGAUCACAGAACAAGACAUGGCAGGCAGGCAGGUUUUAUAGACAUGGACAAGAAGUCUGCACACAGAAGUUCUGAGGAUGCCAGGACCGGCAAAAGUGGAGGUAAACACAAACAAAAGAAAAGAGAAAAGCAAAACCAAGAACACCACCGAUCCCGACAUAGGUCAACAUCUCAUUCUUCAGAUGACUGUGUGUUUCCUUCUUCUGUAUCAUCUUCAGGAAGCCAAACGGAUUCAAGUCUAGAAGGUGCUGCCAAGGGAAGAAUUAAGAGAAAGAGAGGAAAGAAAAGGAGUAAACGGAGAAAAGAAAGAAAGGAGGCAUCUUCCAAGAUGUCCAUCAUUCUGUCUGGUCCUCCGUCUUUGAUCCGCACCAUUUGCCACUGAGACAUCAUCCUUCCUGUCUGCCUAGUCCUUUCAG